ACACUCUUAAAGUUUGGUUUAGACAAAAGAAAGGUCAAGUCCAUUUUAGGCUUGGACUACUUGGCUCUGCAUCAAAACAUAUAUCCUUUCUGUUACAAAGUAAAGAAUACAAGAAGCUAAUUUUUGGUAAAGGAUUUCACACAUUACAUAUCUCUAACUGAAAAUAGGAAAAGAUAUACCCCCAAGGAUCAAAGAUUAACUGGUAUUGUUGAACAUCAGUUGAAAGAAGUUAAAAAUACAAACAGCAACAACGAUUUGCUAAGCAAAAACGAAACAAGCAUACAAAUGGAAAAGUGUCUGGAAUACAUACCAUGGAAUAGUUUUAACUGGUUUGGAAGAAUAAUUUUGAUUUUCUUUGGUAUAUUUGGCUUUCUCGUUUUGUGG